rnacentral:rRNA from 1 species
ACGCUGGCGGCACGCCUAACACAUGCAAGUCGAACGAAGUAGCAAUACUUAGUGGCAGACGGGUGAGUAACAUGUAGGUAUCUGCCCUUUGGCCUGGAAUAACACGAGGAAACUUGUGCUAAUACUGGAUAAGUCUUUACGGAGAAAGCUUUAUGCACCAUUGGAUGAGCCUGCACUUGAUUAGUUUGUUGGUAGGGUAAUGGCCUACCAAGACUGUGAUCAAUAGCUGAUUUGAGAGGAUGAUCAGCCACAUUGGGACUGAGACACGGCCCAAACUCCUACGGGAGGCAGCAGUGGGGAAUCUUGCACAAUGGAGGAAACUCUGAUGCAGCGAUGCCGCGUGAGUGAAGAAGGCCUUUGGGUUGUAAAGCUCUUUCGUCGGGGAAGAAAAUGACUGUACCCGAAUAAGAAGGUCCGGCUAACUUCGUGCCAGCAGCCGCGGUAAUACGAAGGGACCUAGCGUAGUUCGGAAUUACUGGGCUUAAAGAGUUCGUAGGUGGUUGAAAAAGUUGGUGGUGAAAUCCCAGAGCUUAACUCUGGAACUGCCAUCAAAACUUUUCAGCUAGAGUAUGAUAGAGGAAAGCAGAAUUUCUAGUGUAGAGGUGAAAUUCGUAGAUAUUAGAAAGAAUACCAAUUGCGAAGGCAGCUUUCUGGAUCAUUACUGACACUGAGGAACGAAAGCAUGGGUAGCGAAGAGGAUUAGAUACCCUCGUAGUCCAUGCCGUAAACGAUGUGUGUUAGACGUUGGAAAUUUAUUUUCAGUGUCGCAGCGAAAGCGAUAAACACACCGCCUGGGGAGUACGACCGCA